rnacentral:rRNA from 1 species
UAAUUUGAAGAGAUUUGGGUCCGGCCGGCNGGGGUUAAGUCCACUGGAAAGUGGCGCCACAGAGGGUGACAGCCCCGUGAACCCCYUYAACGCCYUCAUCCCAGAUCUCCAAGAGUCGAGUUGUUUGGGAAUGCAGCUCUAAGUGGGUGGUAAAUUCCAUCUAAAGCUAAAUACCGGCGAGAGACCGAUAGCGAACAAGUACAGUGAUGGAAAGAUGAAAAGCACUUUGAAAAGAGAGUGAAAAAGUACGUGAAAUUGUUGAAAGGGAAGGGCUUGCAAGCAGACACUUAACUGGGCCAGCAUCGGGGCGGCGGGAAACAAAACCACCGGGGAAUGUACCUYUCGAGGAUUAUAACCCCGGUCUCAAUUUCCUNGNNGCCCCGAGGCCUGCAAUCUAAGGAUGCUGGCGUAAUGGUUGCAAGUCGCCCGUCUU